GAACCUCCGACUUCUAUUUUGGGCGGGAGAGGAUCUGGCAGGAACAUGAAUAAUAGAUGCCCCUAAACUUAGCCUGUUUGGCUGUGGCUCACUCGUUCUGUGGCACGUCCGCGCACUCUGGUGCCACGCGCCCGGGGGAUGUGCCAAGCACACGCGACUUCGAAAACUGCUGGGAGUGAAACAGGACUUUUAAGUCCGCCGAAUAAACAGUUCGCGCUAAACUGUUAGCGAUGUUGGGGCGGCGGGAAGCGAAUGGGUCAACAGAGGUCCUAGAGCCCGGAGGAGCGCCGCAGUCUCCAAGUCGCCCUUGCCUAGCGCCUCAAUCCUUGACAUAGGGCGGGGAGGGGUGGGCUAAAACACAAAACCCCCUCACUUUGGGCCGCCGGAGAGACUUGGAACGCGGCCAGGGCAAGCAGCGCUGUCUAGUAGGGUUUAGAGUCGUACUUCGUUAUCCUGCUUGCCUUUCCUCCAUCCCUGGAGAGGUAAAGACGAGGGAAGCACAUCCUUCCGUUCGCCCCACACCCGGCCCUUCCUUAGAGACGCACCUCCCCUAUAACCCGGCGUCCCAUAUUCCCUGAGUCUUUCUGGCAACUCUCAUCCCUGCCCCGUGCCUCGAUGCUGGAAUCCUAAUGUGGAAGCCAGAACCCAUGUCUCCGGCCAAAUCAGUGGUCAGCGACCCGCCUAAAGGCGACGGUUCUUGGGCGCGGCUGCGAGAAGCAGCUUUGCCGGCAGAAAGCGCGCUCCUAGCUGCAGGGAGCCGCGUGCACCGCGGGGCGCGGAAGCUGCGCUGCAAACGGAGCGUCCACUCCCCAGCUGACCGCCCCGGGACAUUGGGGCUGCGUAAGGAACCUAGCAGCGCCAACUGAUUACAACCAGAGUUAUGAAAAAAAAAAACCAAAAAACAAAAACACGGUUACUCCAGCCUCGGGCGGGCAGGAUUGUCCUGGUCCUGCCUGCCUGCCUGCCUGCUUUCUCUUCCUCUUUCCCUGCAUCCGUUUCAUCCGUUUCUCCCCUUCCCUUCCAGACUCAUUCUUGUUCUUCCUUCUCUCAAAUCUCUUUUCCUCAACUAUACCCGGCCAACACUCCCCCUCCCCAAAACAGUCUGAGACUCAAAUUGCAGAUGGAAAACCUAUCACUUGAAAGAAAGCUCUUCCAGGGGAAACAAUUCGAAUUGAAGUGAAACGGAGAUCAGAGGAGAGAGAGGAAGACCCCGCCCCGAUAGUCCAGAACAAGCUGUAACAAAGCAAAGUCCACGGAGCUUCACGCUCAACCCUCCAACCUGACUGCGGGAGAGAGGAAGUUCUAACUCAGCUAAGAAUAAGGAAAAGAAGUCAAGCUCGGGGCCCGGCCCUGCCCCUCCAGCGGGCGGGGCUGGGGGAGGGGAGGUUUCUCCAGCAGGCUGAAGCUCGGUGGCUCUACCCCGGCCCCUUGGCUGCGGCGGGCUGGGGGAGGGGCGCUGAGCCGCAGUGGCGCCUGCCUGGCCCUCGCGCGGAGACGGAGACCCGGCCAGGGCCCCGGACCCGCGGCCCGACCCCGGCUGACAGCGGCGUACUGGGAGCCCGUGGGGAGAUGGUCGUAGCCAGGACCGCGGAACUGCAGGAGGAAGACCACGAGGAAGUGUUGGGGGAAGCCAAGCCUCAGCUCAGCCUGGGCGGCCAGCACCUACCUGAUUCCAGGGAACCGGAGUCCUGCGGCGGCAGUCACGUAAUGAUCGGGUAUCAGAAAAAGACGUCAGCAUCCUAGUCCCUCAAGGAACAUAUUAACUAUUCUGUGCUGUCCUCUUGGAUGAUAAGAUCCGGAGUCAUCGACUUCUCAUAAACACCUUUCACUCAUACAAUCCAAUUUUUAAGAAGUGCAAUUAUUUUGGUGGUUUUCAGUUUUGCCCAUUUUUCAGGGAUGGGUAAAGAAUUCAUAGAAUUUCGAGGGUGGCAAAAGUCAUGUUUUUGAUUAUGGCCCUACAAUUUCUCUUUAUUUUUCAUCAAGCCCCAGCAAUCAGAGCUCUGGUCUCUGGAAUUAAGCACCAUCAAGCUCUCCUAUUAAUAAAUUUAAUUUAGAUCUCCUAA